GAUGAACGCUGGCGGCGUGCCUAAUACAUGCAAGUCGAACGCGUCACUUCGGUGAAGAGUGGCGAACGGGUGAGUAAUACAUAAGUAACCUGGCAUCUACAGGGGGAUAACUGAUGGAAACGUCAGCUAAGACCGCAUAGGUGUAGAGAUCGCAUGAACUCUAUAUGAAAAGUGCUACGGGACUGGUAGAUGAUGGACUUAUGGCGCAUUAGCUGGUUGGUAGGGUAACGGCCUACCAAGGCGACGAUGCGUAGCCGACCUGAGAGGGUGACCGGCCACACUGGGGCUGAGACACGGCCCAGACUCCUACGGGAGGCAGCAGUAGGGAAUUUUCGGCAAUGGGGGAAACCCUGACCGAGCAACGCCGCGUGAAGGAAGAAGUAAUUCGUUAUGUAAACUUCUGUCAUAGAGGAAGAACGGUGGAUAUAGGGAAUGAUAUCCAAGUGACGGUACUCUAUAAGAAAGCCACGGCUAACUACGUGCCAGCAGCCGCGGUAA
rnacentral:rRNA from 1 species